GACGUAGGGUGCAAGCGUUGUCCGGAUUUAUUGGGCGUAAAGAGCGUGUAGGCGGCCUGACAGGUCAGCUGUGAAAACUCGAGGCUCAACCUCGAGACGUCGGUUGAAACCAUCUGGCUAGAGUCCGGAAGAGGAGUGUGGAAUUCCCGGUGUAGCGGUGAAAUGCGCAGAUAUCGGGAAGAACACCCGUGGCGAAGGCGGCACUCUGGGACGGUACUGACGCUGAGACGCGAAAGCGUGGGGAGCGAACAGG
rnacentral:rRNA from 1 species